AGCUCCAAUAGCGUAUAUUAAAGUUGCUGCAGUUAAAAAGCUCGUAGUUGCAUUUCCGAGGCAAGGGAUUAGUCCGACCUUUGGUGGGUAUUUAAUCCUCUUGCCUCGUCCUUGAGUGGUGCUUCUUGGUAUUAAGUUAUCGAGGAGAUAGCCACUCAUCGUUUACUGUGAGAAAAUUAGAGUGUUCAAAGCAGGCUUAUGCCGUUGAAUAUAUUAGCAUGGAAUAAUAAGAUAGGACCUCGGUACUAUUUUGUUGGUUUGAGAACCAAGGUAAUGAUGAAUAGGGACAGUUGGGAGUAUUCGUAUUCAGUUGUCAGAGGUGAAAUUCUUAGAUUUACGGAAGACGAACUACUGCGAAAGCAUUUACCAAGGAUGUUUUCA
rnacentral:rRNA from 1 species